AGCCACUAACCUCUUGAAAUGUGGCUAUUGUGGUUGAAUAUUGAUUUUGGAGUUGUAUUUAACUUUAAUUAAUUUAAAUAAAAUUUAAAUAGCCACAUGUGGCUAAUGGCUACCAUAUUGGACAGCAGAGUUCUCUGGGAAUUCACCAACCCUGAAAGCACCAUCUCCAAUGGCUGGAUUUGUUUUUGGUUUUGCUUCUUCUAAGUUCAUGUUAGACGGGUAAUGUGCUGACGUCAUAACAAGGUUUGAGGGUGACACAUCUCACACACGCAUGCGUGAGCACCCAAUUAUCAUACUUAUGAACUGCAAUUAUCAGCUUAUGGCUGGAUUUGAAGCGGAGACACAUAGCUAUGCUUGACCUAAUACCUCAUUUUGGCUUUUCACUUAUAAUUAAUUACUCACCUAAUCAUUUACUCAGUAAAUGUCCUCUGAAUACCUGCUAUGUUCCAGGCACUUGCUAAAGUCUGGAAACAAAAUAGAAAGCAACACAUAUCUGGCCCUUACAUUUCUAAAGGCGUAAGUAGAAAAUUAAUUUAAAUAGCAUGAAGAUAAUUGGUAAACCCAAGACAUAAUGGUAGCCCAUCUCACUCCAGAUAAGUGUAAAACUAUAGAUGGUGUUUGUGUUACAAGGGAAAGGCACAUUGUACCAUGAGGACGGGGAACAUGGGCUCCACAUAGACUGAAGGAGAGUUUCCCUAAAUUAGAAAUUUUUUUGGAGGACUUUUAUUUCCUGCAGGUGGGGUGGGUUAGAUACCUAAGCAAUCUUGCCCAAAUGAAAGAACUCAAAUGCAGAAGAAAAUAUUUUUAGUAACAACUUUCUAAAGCCAUUGCUGGGUUGGCACAAAAAUAAGAAUCUAUAGAUCCCAAAAAGAAGGAAAAGCCAGACAGACACCCAAGUGAAGGUGACCUCUCUUUGUUCCUGGUUUCUUUGAAGAGCUUCUCUUUGCUUUUGAUGUUCCACAGUUUUAUCAUCGUAAGUCCAGAAAGAACAAUGCCAUGGCGAGGUACUCAGAGCUGAGGGAGGAAGAUUGCUGCAGCCAGUGAGCUAAGCGGAAAGAAUAUCCUGGGCUUCCUUGGGAUCCGAUGUGGACUUGGUCCAGCUGCAGGGAGAGAAUGUACUGCUCAGGCCGACGUGAGGAUCCAAUCCACUCACCGGUUACAUGCCACGAUGUAAAUUAAUAAAUUCGCAUUCUGAUUUUAUCAUCUGCCUCAUCUGAGGUCUGUAGGCGUGAGUCAGCAUCCCCUAGUUUAAUCAACAUGGACACUGAGACUAUCAAGCUUUUGAGCUGAAAAGCUAAGAAUUAGACCCAGGACCAGAGUGAAAUCACCAAGAUGAGGAAAUCCAAGCUCAGAAUGGAUAAUUCACCUAAGGAAAUACAGAUGGAAAAUGGCAGAGCUGCAAUCUAAACCCAGGUCCAUCUGAUAAUAAAGCCCAGGCUCUCCUCAACCAACUUCAGAUCUAGGAUGCUUCCAGUGAGACUCCGUGCUCCCUCCCUGUGUGGUUCCCAUGGCCUUUCUUUACCUCAAGAAAAUGCAGAGUGAAAAGCAAUGGUAGCAGAAGUUUCUAGAAGUUACUUAUAUGGCAAGUGCAAGUAUUUCAGAACACAUUUGAGAUUCAGGAAGGAGGCAAAAAGGCUUCUGCUGAGCAGUCAAAAUGACGAAGUUUGUAAACUUCACUUUAUUUGGGUCCCUGCUGAAAGUCUACCUACUCUUUAAAAACAAUAACAACAACAAAAAAUGGGAACACACUAUUAACGCUGUUCUGCACAUGUAUUUUUCAAUUAACAAUUGGUGAGUAUUCCCUUUUAGCGCACAUAGAUCUACCUCAUUCAUUUAAGGGCUCUGUAGUGCUGCAUUGUGUGAAUGCACCAAAUGUGUAUUUAUCCUGCAUUCUCUAGGUGGACAUUUUAGACACUUACAAGGGUUGGGGCUCAGAAAGUGAUAUCCCAAAGGCUGAUGUUUUGACAUGCUGAGGGCCCUCAGAAGCCGCCCCCGAACCAAGGUCCCUCUAACUUCUUGUUCCCCAUACCUGCCCCACCACCAAACACAGGGAGGGACUGUCUGUCUUUGGAAAUUUCCUCAUCUGACCAAGAAAGCAUCUUUCCAAAAGAAAUGCAAUUGUCUUAAACACCCUCCCUAGAGGUCUCAUCAAAUAACCAAGAAAGAUAAACCACCAGAAGAGAUGAGACUGGGAAUCAUCACCACACCCAGACAGACUUCAUCUAUUCUUCUGAGAGCAGCUCCAAGAGAUUGCCUGGAGGACUUUAUCUGCUUAAUAAGACAAGCUUUGUUCCUGUACAGCUCCGCCCCUCACCUUCCUGUAAUAUCUGCCUCCCACCUCCCCAGUCCAUACAUCUCCUCCCUCCUGUAUGAAAAAGGGUAUACAAGCUUCUGUGCCCCAUUGGGUUAUUGGGAAAUCAUUCUCCUGUGAUUCCCCUGUGCCAUGCACACUAAAAUAAAAUUUUGUAUGCCUUUUCUCCUAUCGAUCUGCCUUUGGUCAGUUGAUUUUUCAAUGAACCUUCAGAAGGCAAAGGGGAAGUUUUCCCUUGGCCCCUGUACAUGUCUUUUGUAACUAUAGAUAAUGCUGUCAUGAACACCCUUUCUUCCCCCAUGUCUGAUGGGUAACGCACCAACAUUGUAACAAAAUUGGAGGAAGGCAUAUGUCACACAUGAGCGUGAAAACCCAAUCACCACGCUUAUGAACUACAAAAAGUACAUGAAACUGUGUUAUCCACAAGUCAGAUGAACCCAAAGAACUUGUUUCCAAGCCCUUCCUGGAGCAGAAUCAGUGAAGAGGAGGGGAAAGGGUUGCUAGAGGCUGUUGGCCUGAAGCAAUACAAGCUACUGCUGACAGUCUGGCAGGAGAAAGGAGACACAAAACUCUACAAAGCAAACACAAGAAGGAAAACAGGCCAGGAUCAUUUAGCAGAAGGUCCAAACAGUCCAAGACGGCAGAGUAGGCCUUUAGCAUAUACGAACUGAGGUUGAGAAGUACACUUAACCAUGAAAAAAGGGGCUUAAAUCUCUUCUCCAUGCUCUGUUUUAGAAGGCAGAAGAGUGUAAAAUCCAUUUUAGAAUUAUUUUCCUCUAAAAUGGCGAUCUAGGAAAAGGCCCAGCACUUGAAAGGACAAACGUCGACUGUGUAUGUAGCACACACCAUAACCUAUGGCGUUGGAUAGAGUGCUAUUAUACAAAAAUUGAUUGCUUUUUUUUUGAAAAAACAAGGACAGACAAGGCCUAUAAAGAAUAUGGAAGAUGGGCUCUUAGAAAAGGUGGACAUUUUGGCCGGGUGCUGUGGCUCACGCCUGUAAUCCCAGCACUUUGAGAGGCCGAGGCGGGCAGAUCACCUGA